rnacentral:tRNA from 1 species
GAACACAUGGCCUAAUGGAUAAGGCCUCUGACUUCAGAUCAAAAGAUUGAGGGUUUGAAUUCCUUCAUGAUUG